UAGUCUUUUCCCCUUAUUCUUUUAUUGUGAUGGUGGGGGGAUGGGGGGCAGAAUCCAAGGAAAUACAUGAAUACGGCAGGAGUGGUUGCCUGGCUAUUCAGGCCUUGUUGAUGGAACAAUGGGAGACAGAAUGUUUUAUACAGUACAGUUUGAGAUUUCAACAGGGGGAAAAAAGAGUCAGGCUAUCAAAAAGCUUGGAGCAUGGAGGCAAUACAGUAAUACCGUCAUGUCGCCUCCUUGUUCAGCAAGCUGUGAACAAUUUUCAGAGACCUCCAACAAUUCUGGCCUAGUUGGGAAUGCAUUCAAAAAGAAAAACCACUGAGCACUGCAGAAAGAGAUGGAUCUUGACCCACCGGAGUACAUGUGCCAAUAAAUGCCCUGGAAAGCAA